AGAGUUUGAUCCUGGCUCAGGACGAACGCUGGCGGUGCGCCUAAUGCAUGCAAGUCGAACGGUCCCAUCCCGACUUGUCGGGAGAAGGAUAGUGGCGAACGGCUGAGUAACACGUAAGUGACCUACCCCGAGGCGGGGGACACACCCGAGAAAUCGGGAUCAAUACCCCGUAAGCUCCCUUGGCUGCGGCCUUGGGAGGAAAGGUGCCCAUUUCGGUGGACAUCGCCUUGGGAGGGACUUGCGGCCUAUCAGGUAGUCGGUGGGGUAACGGCCUACCGAGCCGAAGACGGGUAACCGGUGUGAGAGCACGAACGGUCAGAGGGGGACUGCGACACGGCCCCCACUCCUACGGGAGGCAGCAGCAGGGAAUCUUGCGCAAUGGGCGAAAGCCUGACGCAGCGACACCGCGUGGGGGAAGACGGCCCUAGGGUUGUAAACCCCUUUUCUCGGGGACGAGAACGGACGGUACCCGAGGAAUAAGCCUCGGCUAACUACGUGCCAGCAGCCGCGGUAAUACGUAGGAGGCGAGCGUUGUCCGGAUUUACUGGGCGUAAAGGGCGAGUAGGCGGCCCGGCAAGUCUCAUGUGAAAUCUUCCGGCUCAACUGGAAGCGGUCAUGGGAAACUGCCAGGCUUGAGGGCAGCAGAGGA
rnacentral:rRNA from 1 species